UACGUAGGGUGCGAGCGUUUGUCCGGAAUUAUUGGGCGUAAAGGGCUCGUAGGCGGUUUGUCGCGUCGGGAGUGAAAUCCACUGGCUUAACUGGUGGCUUGCUUUCGAUACGGGCAGACUGGAGGUAUGCAGGGGAGAACGGAAUUCCUGGUGUAGCGGUGAAAUGCGCAGAUAUCAGGAAGAACACCCGUGGCUAAGGCGGCUCUCUAGUACGGUACUGACGCUGAGACGCGAAAGCGUGGGGAGCGAACAGG
rnacentral:rRNA from 1 species